UUUAUUAUAUUUAUAGUUGUACAAUGAUCAUCACAAUCCAAUUUUAUAGGAUUUCCAUCCCAAAACCCCAGCAUAUCCCACCAUCCCCAAACUGUCUCCUUUGGAGACCAUAAGGAUUUCAAAGUCUGUGAGUCAGUAUCUGCUCUGCAAAGAAGUUCAGUCUGUCCUUUUUUCAGAUGCCACAUGUCAGUGAAAGCAUUUGAUGUUGGUGUCUCAUUGACUGGCUGACUUCACUUAGCAUGAUAGUUUCUAGGUCCAUCCAUGUUGCUAAAAUUGCCAGUAUUUUGUUCCUUUUAAUGGCUGAGUAAUAUUCCAUUGUAAGUCUGGCUAAGGCUUUAUCAAUUUUGUUGAACUUUUCAAAGAACCAGCUUUUCGUUUCAUUGAUCUUUUCUAUGGUUUUCUUUGUUUCUAUUUCAUUGAUUUCUGCUCUGAUCUUUAUGAUUUCUUUCCUUCUACUAACUUUAGGUCUUGUCUGUUCUUCUGUCUUGAGCUGCUUUAGAUGUAAGGUUAGUUUGCUUAUUUGAGCUUUUUCUUGUUUCCUGAAGUGGGCAUGUAUUGCUAUGAACUUUCCUCUUAGAACGGCUUUUGCUGCUUCCCAUAGGUUUUGGAGUGUCGUAUCUUUGUUGUCAUUUGCAUCUAGGUAUUUUUUAAUUUCUCCUUUGAUUUCUUCAGUGAGCCAUUGGUUGUUUAGUAGCAUGUUGUUUAGUCUCCACAUGUUUGUUUUUUUGCAGUUUUUUUCUCGUUGUUGAUAUUCCAGUCGUAUAGCAUUGUGGUCAGAAAAGAUGCUUGAUAUGAUUUCAAUUUUCUUAAAGUUACCAGGGGUUGGAUUUGUAGCCCAGGAUGUGAUCAGUCUUAGAGAAUGUUCCAUGUGCACUUGAGAAGAAUGUGUAUUCUGUUGCUUUUGGAUGGAAUGUCCUAUAAAUAUCUGUUAAGUCCAUCUGGUCUAAUGCUUCAUUCAGGGCCUGUGUUUCCUUAUUGAUUUUGUGUCUGGAUGACCUGUCCAUUGCUGUAAGUGGGGUGUUAAUGUCCUCCACUAUGAUUGUGUUAUUGUUGAUUUAUUCUCUUAAGGUUGUUAGCAGUUGCCUUAUAUAUUGUGGUGAACCUAUGUUGGGUGGUGCGUAGAUAUUUGAAAUUGUUACAUCUUCUUCUUGGACUGAUCCUUUGAUCAUUAUGUAGUGACCUUCCUUGUCCCUGAAAAUAUUCUUCAUUUUAAAGUCUAUUUUGUCUGAUAUGAGUAUUGCUACUCCAGCUUUCUUUUGAUUCCCAUUUGCAUGAAAGAUAUUCUUCCAUCCUCUCACUUUCAAUUUGUAUGU
rnacentral:lncRNA from 1 species